CCUACGGGAGGCAGCAGUAAGGAAUAUUGGUCAAUGGAGGCAACUCUGAACCAGCCAUGCCGCGUGCAGGAAGACUGCCCUAUGGGUUGUAAACUGCUUUUAUCCGGGAAUAAACCUGCUUACGUGUAAGUAGCUGAAUGUACCGGAAGAAUAAGGAUCGGCUAACUCCGUGCCAGCAGCCGCGGUAAUACGGAGGAUCCAAGCGUUAUCCGGAUUUAUUGGGUUUAAAGGGUGCGUAGGCGGCCUGUUAAGUCAGGGGUGAAAGACGGUAGCUCAACUAUCGCAGUGCCCUUGAUACUGAUGGGCUUGAAUGGACUAGAGGUAGGCGGAAUGAGACAAGUAGCGGUGAAAUGCAUAGAUAUGUCUCAGAACACCGAUUGCGAAGGCAGCUUACUAUGGUCUUAUUGACGCUGAGGCACGAAAGCGUGGGGAUCAAACAGGAUUAGAUACCCUGGUAGUCCACGCCCUAAACGAUGAACACUCGCUGUUGGCGAUCACAGUCCNGCGCGAGACGAAGAGUAGUAGUUCACCGUGGAGACGCCGCGAGGNGAAGUAANAGAGUAGAGAGNGAGAGAGACGACGACGACGACGAGGAGGGAGGAG
rnacentral:rRNA from 1 species